ACAGGCUCCGGCUCCGGGCAGGCAGCUGCGAACAUGGGCCAGCCUCCGCCAGGAUGCCCCGCGUUACCGGGCCCAGAGCCCCAGGGCAACGGAGAGGGCGGUAAUCCCACCCCUCCUCCCUUCUCAGAGUUCCUGGUCCCAUUCAGCCGAAUGCCAUUCAUUGCCAGUUCACUGCCAACAUGAGAAACAAAGAGGCACCACGGAAUUCAUUCGGGGCAUCAGCGAACUCAGGUGGCUCAGGGGCUUGCAGCCUGUCUGGAACAUCAGAGUAUGACAGCCAUCGUAUUCUCCUCUUCAAGAAUCUGCCUGAGCCGCCUUCCCAAAGAUGCUGCUGCCCAGCCCCCACUGAGGGGCCCAAGGGCACAAGACCCUCCC